rnacentral:lncRNA from 1 species
CCUAUAUUUAUCUGAAAAUUUUGUUAUGUUUUCUUUAUUUUGUACAUGUUCUGAAUUCUGUGCCUGAAAAAAUACCUCCAUAAUUAAUGCUCCAGCUCAUUAUCUCUGGGUCAAAGGUACAAUUCCUGGUGAGCUCAAAUCAGUCUUCCAAUGUCAAUAUAAAAGGUGCAUUUCACAAGGUUGAUAAUGAUGCCUAGACCAAAUUAUUUACUUGAAAACUAGUGUAUUUUUCUUGUAUUCAAUAUAUUUAUUAAAAUGAAAUGAAUAAGUUAUCAACAUAGAUAUUUUGUUGUGCUAUAAAAAUAUAUUUUGUAUGUUGAAGUAAAUUUUAAGUAAAACAUUAUAUUUCUAUUGUUCUUUGCUAUGCUGUAUAUAUGACAUUCUGGUCGCAAAAUCCAUAUAUAUUUGAUACAAUAUCUGUCCUUUCCACUUAAUUUUUGGGUUUCCUCUUAAUUUUUUGAAUAUUUUUAAAAUCAAAUUUGUACUGUGAUUUUUAACACUUUUGUACUUUUGUAAAAUCUCAAACAUGUUUUAUUUUCUGAAAUAAACACUACUAUGUGAUAAUAUUAUGUUAUCAUGAAAUCUUCAUUUGUUUGCUCUGAGUUUGUUUAACACACAGGUAUAAUAUCUAGUGAUACGUGAUGUAACUAUUUUGCAUUAAAAAUUCCUUACAAAAUUAAAAUACGUAGAAAUUUUGAAUGCAGUGAGCUAAAUAAAUCAUUUGGGUGAUGAUUAUGUCUUGUAAUCAUUAGGAGACACAGCUAUUCUCCAUACAAUUUUCUUGCGAUGUUUGCACACUGGUUGAAACUACAGAUUAUAAAGUAAACAAUAAAAACAAUCACCUUUUAAAAGAACACUCUGGGCACAGUAACAACCUCAUGCAAUGAAUUUCUUAUGGUGCAAGGAGGUCCCAGGCGCUGCCUUACCAUAAGGGGUGUAAACCCUUACCAAAUGGUUUGACCCCAAAGUCUGUAAGAAGGCAUCAUUGAUGUAUUAUGUACUUUUGUACCUUUUUCAUCACUUUUCAAAAAUGUGGAGCCAGUGAUAAUCUGAAAGCGUCAGAUGAGGCUCUCAGCCUAUCGGCUUCACCCUGUCUGAGGCUACCUGAUUGAAGACUCAGAAAUGCAAAAUAAGAGCGGGGCAGACUGAUUAUCAUUUACAGUUUAGUACCUUCAGGUAAGGCUUAUGGCUAACCUUGACACCAUAAAUUUUCUGGGCUACAUUUCCCAUGAUGCACAGCUAGCUUUUAGAGUCUAAAAACUAGCUGAGCAUCAUGGGAAAUGUAGUCCAGAAACAAUUUAUGGUGUCAAGGAUAGCCAUCACUGGUUUAGCCCAUCACGUCAACAAAGUUUACCUGAUAUUGGGCAUAAAUAUUUGUCAUUUUAUUCUUUAAAUCUAGAUAUAAAAUUUGUUACUAGUCCAUGAUUUAAACAUAAAGAAUCAGCUAGUCUAACUUUUUACAUAUAGGUAUAAGAUAUUUCAUUUCCCCUAAUUAUCAUGUUUAAUAGAGCAGCGGUGUGCUCUGGACUGGAGUCCUGGAUGGUAUUAAAUGGACACUCAGCACCAUAAUCAGCUUAGCUUACUGAAAGUCAUGGUGCAUAGAACCUGCCUCUGCUACCAUAUUUAAAAUAUAUACAAUUAUAAUUUUUUUUAAUAUUUAUUGAUUUUUUUAUUUUUUUUGUUUGUAGGUUGCCUCUUUGGGAUGUCAAUCAGCUAGCUGGAAUACUCCCUUCCUGACUGGAAAUAUCCGUUUUGUGCAAUUUUUCAUCUGGUGUGUGCGCACACAGUCUGCUAACUCCAGAUGCCUUGGACAUUCUAUCUAUGGCUAAGCAAGUUACACACAGAUUGUUAAAGACCAAUUGCCCAGGUACAAUAUAUAUCUGUGGUAGUGGGAUACUGACGCAACCAUUUGCUAACAGCUUCUGUGGAAUAUAAAUUCGAUUGGCCUCACCUAGCCGUUGGCUUACCUUGAUAAGAAUUUUAUCUACAAUACCAUUAAAUAGCAAGUCACCAUUUUACUGGACACAUGAAAUGAAUAAUUAAAACAGCACUUGAACUAAUACAACCCUAAAGAGUUUAAUUUACUCUUCUAUAUAUCUGUGAAACCACCGAUCUCCGAUGCUUUUGCCAGGAAAUUUGUUCUCAAGGCUUCUCUUUGAGAAACAUUUGAUUAGACAGUGCCAGCACUAACAAGGAAAUAGUCCUGGGCAAAAUUAAGGUGGAUCUUCAUUAGCUGCUGAGGCCAGUUCAUCAGCCAUGAAAUAUAUGAUUAUAUGGAUGAGGAAAUAUUAAGGAACUGCUCUAUUAUAGGGAAACUCUCUCAAGCUAAUUAACUAAACUGUGGAUUUUGUCCAGAUGCAAAAAAAUCCUGUUACUAAAGCCAAAUUCGGUUGAUCCGACCUCGUCAGUAGCAGUUGUCCGGAUGCAUUCAGUAUGUAACCAUGCGGACAUUAGUGAAUAACCCUGCCUAUGCCCAAAAUGUAUAUAUAUUUUUAAAAAUUAUAAUUAGUCACCAAAUAAAAUAUGCAAUGCCUAUGUAGGGCAUCGGCUGAACAGCUAAACGGACGUUCUGUUCAUACACCCAUCACACUCAGCCGGACGACAUCAUGGUGGGGUUAGGGUGUACUCAUUCCUUAGCUUCAUACAACUGACUUUGGAUGUUUACCUCAAGGGCCUUCUGGGGUGGUAUAUCACUCAUGCAUAUUAGCCUUGUAUACUUUACACUGUCUUACUUGUAUCUAGCUGUGUUUCCUUAGCCAGUUUUUACUUUUAAUAUAAAAAUGUGCAGAAUUUCCAUAUGCCAUGUACUUGUCAAUUAUCUCAUGCUGAUGCGCUUGCUGAAAC